GACGAACGCUGGCGGCGUGCUUAACACAUGCAAGUCGAGCGGAAAGGCCCUUCGGGGUACUCGAGCGGCGAACGGGUGAGUAACACGUGAGUAAUCUGCCCUUGGCUUUGGGAUAACUACCGGAAACGGUGGCUAAUACCGGAUACGACAACCGUCUGCAUGGGCUGGUUGUGGAAAGUUUUUUCGGCCAGGGAUGUGCUCGCGGCCUAUCAGCUUGUUGGUGGGGUAAUGGCCUACCAAGGCUUCGACGGGUAGCCGGCCUGAGAGGGUGACCGGCCACACUGGGACUGAGACACGGCCCAGACUCCUACGGAAGGCAGCGUUGGGAAAUAUUGGACAAUGGGCGGAAGCCGGAUCCAGCAACGCCGCGUGAGGGAGGACGGCCUUCGGGUUGUAACCUCUUUCAGUACCGACGAAGCGCCGAUGAUGGUGGUGACGGUAGGUACAGAAGAAGCACCGGCCAACUACGUG
rnacentral:rRNA from 1 species